GAUGAACGCUGACAGAAUGCUUAACACAUGCAAGUCCACUUGAACUUCGGUUUGGGUGGCGGACGGGUGAUUAACGCGUAAAGAACUUGCCUCACAGAUAGGGACAACAUUUGGAAACGAAUGCUAAUACCUGAUAUUAUGAUUUUAGGGCAUCCUAGGAUUAUGAAAGCUAUAUGCGCUGUGAGAGAGCUUUGCGUCCCAUUAGCUAGUUGGAGAGGUAACGGCUCACCAAGGCGAUGAUGGGUAGCCGGCCUGAGAGGGUGAUCGGCCACAAGGGGACUGAGACACGGCCCUUACUCCUACGGGAGGCAGCAGUGGGGAAUAUUGGACAAUGGACCAAGAGUCUGAUCCAGCAAUUCUGUGUGCACGAUGAAGUUUUUCGGAAUGUAAAGUGCUUUCAGUUGGGAAGAAAAAAAUGACGGUACCAACAGAAGAAGUGACGGCUAAAUACGUG
rnacentral:rRNA from 1 species